rnacentral:rRNA from 1 species
UACGUAGGGGGCAAGCGUUAUCCGGAUUUACUGGGUGUAAAGGGAGCGUAGGCGGGCUUUUAAGUCAGCGGUAAAAAUUCGGGGCUCAACCCCGUCCGGCCGUUGAAACUGGGGGUCUUGAGUGGGCGAGAAGAAGGCGGAAUGCGUGGUGUAGCGGUGAAAUGCAUAGAUAUCACGCAGAACCCCGAUUGCGAAGGCAGCCUUCCGGCGCCCUACUGACGCUGAGGCACGAAAGUGCGGGGAUCGAGCAGG